rnacentral:rRNA from 1 species
ACAUACGACCACACCCACUAGAAAAUACGGGAUCCUAUCUGCUUUUCUAUAGAUAAGCUAGUAAGGGGCAGAUUAGUAGUGAGGUCAGUGACGACCAGUGAACCCCUACUAUUGUAUGUU